AUCUAUUCAACUAACCAAAAUGCCCCCUCGGCUGCCACCCUCUCAAACAUUUCGGUUCUCUCACUCCACUCUCUCCUCUCUCUCCCUCUCCCUCUCCAUCAACGUCCUCCAUCUACAACUGCAAACCUGUCACCACUAUAGCCGCAAACCUCACCAGAGAAGCCCCGCCACCAUCAAGACGUCGCAAGAGAAGUUCGUUUCCAUUGCAGAUUUGGAUUCUAAAGGUCCGGCUUUGCCAUUUUCGUCAUCGAGAAUCACAUUUCUUUGUCGGAUCCAUGGAUUUUUUGUCUUAACUCACUGAAAUCUUCAUUUCUUCCUUAGUUUUUAUUUGUUCAGAUUCGAAGUUUGGUAGAGGGUGACAGAAUAGAAUGAGGAAAAGGAUAAAGGACAAAGCAUCACCUUGAUAAGAGAGCGGUUAUGGAGGGAAGAGCUACUCCUUCAGCGAGUCCAAAGAAAGCUCGAGCCAUCAAUAAGGCGAAUGUGUCAUCCUCUAUUUUCUUUCAUGUUUUGUUUAAUUGCUGCUCAAAAUUGUUAGAAAGCAUGCAAGUUUAGAUUCCUGAAAUGGAAUGAAAAAUUUGUUCUUAAGCUUUCUAGACUAUGUCAACUAAUCAAAAUAAAACUUAUUCUCUUGGGUUCAGUGUUUUGGUCCAGAAAACAUUUGAUAGUUGGUUUUGACAACAUGUUGCUAUUUCAAUUAGUUCCUUCUUUAUUAUUGCCAAGUGAUAUGGCAAAAAUUCUGUCAUAUGAAUUGGAUGAUUUGGACAUGCUUGUAAUUUGUAAAUAUGUACAUGCUUUGCCUUAUCUGGAUCCCCA